rnacentral:rRNA from 1 species
UGGGGAAUAUUGCACAAUGGAGGGAACUCUGAUGCAGCGACGCCGCGUGAACGAAGAAGGCUUUCGAGUCGUAAAGUUCUUUUAUAUGGGAAGAUAAUGACGGUACCAUAAGAAAAAGCCCCGGCUAACUACGUGCCAGCAGCCGCGGUAAUACGUAGGGGGCUAGCGUUGUCCGGAAUCACUGGGCGUAAAGGGUUCGCAGGCGGAAAUGCAAGUCAGGGGUAAAAGGCAGUAGCUUAACUACUGUAAGCAUUUGAAACUGCAUAUCUUGAGAAGAGUAGAGGUAAGUGGAAUUUUUAGUGUAGCGGUGAAAUGCGUAGAUAUGAAAAAGAAUACCGGUGGCGAAGGCGACUUACUGGGCUCACUCUGACGCUGAGGAACGAAAGCGUGUGUAGCAAACAGG